ACGAACGCUGGCGGCGUGCUUCACACCUGCCAGUCGCACGGAAAGGCCCUGCUUUUGUGGGGUGCUCGAGUGGCGAACGGGUGAGUAACACGUGAGUAACCUGCCCUUGACUUUGGGAUAACUUCAGGAAACUGGGGCUAAUACCGGAUAGGAGCUCCUGCUGCCUGGUGGGGGUUGGAAAGUUUCGGCGGUUGGGGAUGGACUCGCGGCUUAUCAGCUUGUUGGUGGGGUAGUGGCUUACCAAGGCUUUGACGGGUAGCCGGCCUGAGAGGGUGACCGGCCACAUUGGGACUGAGAUACGGCCCAGACUCCUACGGGAGGCAGCAGUGGGGAAUAUUGCACAAUGGGCGGAAGCCUGAUGCAGCAACGCCGCGUGCGGGAUGACGGCCUUCGGGUUGUAAACCGCUUUCGCCGGUGACGAAGCGUGAGUGACGGUAAUGGGUAAAGAAGCACCGGCUAACUACGUG
rnacentral:rRNA from 1 species